GACAUGCGAGUCGAGCGUCUCUAGCUAUGUUGAGACGCGGCAUACGGCUCAGUAACGCGUGGCUAACCUACCCUCAGGACGGAGACAACCCCGGGAAACUGGGACUAAUAUCCGAUAGGCGAGGAGGCCUGGAAUGGUUUCUCACCUAAAAGACUUUGGAAACAUGCUUUCAUUGUUGCCUGAGGAUGGGGCCGCGCCCGAUCAGGUUGUUGGUGAGGUAAUGGCUCACCAAGCCUAUAACCGGUACGGGCCGUGAGAGCGGUAGCCCGGAGAUGGGUACUGAGACAAGGACCCAGGCCCUACGGGGCGCAGCAGUCGCGAAAACUCCGCAAUGCACGAAAGUGUGACGGGGCUACCCCGAGUGCUCUCCGCUGAGGAAAGCUUUUCCCUGGUAUAACUAGCCAGGGGAAUAAGGAGAGGGCAAGACUGGUGUCAGCCGCCGCGGUAAUACCAGCUCUCCGAGUGGUAGGGAUGAUUAUUGGGCUUAAAGCGUCCGUAGCCGGCUUAGCAAGUCUCCUGUUAAACUCAGCGACUUAAUCGUUGAAUCGCGGGAGAUACUAUUAGGCUAGGAGGCGGGAGAGGUCGACGGUACUUCUGGGGUAGGGGUGAAAUCCUAUAAUCCCGGGAGGACCACCAGUGGCGAAGGCUGUCGACUAGAACGCGCUCGACGGUGAGGGACGAAAGCUGGGGGAGCGAACCGGAUUAGAUACCCGGGUAGUCCCAGCUGUAAACGAUGCGGGCUAGGUGUUGGAAUGGCUACGUGCCAUUUCAGUGCCGCAGGGAAGCCAUUAAGCCCGCCGCCUGGGGAGUACGGCCGCAAGGCUGAAACUUAAAGGAAUUGGCGGGGGAGCACCACAAGGCGUGAAGCUUGCGGUUCAAUUGGAUUCAACGCCGGGA
rnacentral:rRNA from 1 species